rnacentral:rRNA from 1 species
GUGAACGCUGGCGGUAGGCCUAACACAUGCAAGUCGAACGGCAGCACAGAGGAGCUUGCUCCUUGGGUGGCGAGUGGCGGACGGGUGAGGAAUACAUCGGAAUCUACUCUUUCGUGGGGGAUAACGUAGGGAAACUUACGCUAAUACCGCAUACGACCUUCGGGUGAAAGCAGGGGAUCGCAAGACCUUGCGCGAUUGAAUGAGCCGAUGUCGGAUUAGCUAGUUGGCGGGGUAAAGGCCCACCAAGGCGACGAUCCGUAGCUGGUCUGAGAGGAUUAUCAGCCACAGUGGAAAUGAGACACGGUCCAGACUCCUACGGGAGGCAGCAGUGGGGAAUAUUGGACAAUGGGCGCAAGCCUGAUCCAGCCAUACCGCGUGGGUGAAGAAGGCCUUCGGGUUGUAAAGCCCUUUUGUUGGGAAAGAAAAGCACACGGUUAAUACCCGAGUGUUCUGACGGUACCCAAAGAAUAAGCACCGGCUAACUUCGUGCCAGCACCCGCAGUAAUAC